UAAUCAUGAAAUCUUUUUGAGAUUGUUUUAAUGACAAUUAUGCAGAUUCUCUUAAAGGUAUUUAUUUAUUGCUCAAAAGAGUUCUUAACGUUAUCCAAAGUUGUUUGUUGCUUGGCCUUUGUUAAAUCACUCAUAUUGAGUUACAACUUUAAGAUUUAGAGUUGACUCGAAAUCGAACAGAAAGGAAAGACUGUAUUUUUGUGUAUUUGGAUUGGUU
rnacentral:lncRNA from 1 species